UACGUAGGGCGCAAGCGUUGUCCGGAAUUAUUGGGCGUAAAGAGCUCGUAGGCGGCUUGUCACGUCGGGUGUGAAAGCUCGGGGCUUAACCCCGGGUCUGCAUUCGAUACGGGCUGGCUGGAGUGUGGUAGGGGAGAUCGGAAUUCCUGGUGUAGCGGUGAAAUGCGCAGAUAUCAGGAGGAACACCGGUGGCGAGGGCGGAUCUCUGGGCCAUUACUGACGCUGAGGAGCGAAAGCGUGGGGAGCGAACAGG
rnacentral:rRNA from 1 species